rnacentral:rRNA from 1 species
CCUACGGGUGGCAGCAGUGAGGAAUAUUGGUCAAUGGGCGCAAGCCUGAACCAGCCAAGUAGCGUGAAGGAUGACUGCCCUCCGGGUUGUAAACUUCUUUUAUAAAGGAAUAAAAUGCGGCACGUGUGCCUUUUUGUAUGUACUUUAUGAAUAAGGAUCGGCUAACUCCGUGUCAGCAGCAGCGGUAAGCCGGAGGAGUCGAGCGUUAUCCGGAUUUAUUUGGGUUAAAGGGAGGUGAGAUGGGUUGUUAAGUCAGUUGUGAAAGUUUGCUGCUCAACCGUAAAAUUGCAAUUGAUACUGGCAGUCUUGAGUACAGUUGAGGUAGGUGGAAUUCGUGGUGUAGCGGUGAAAUGCUUAGAUAUCACGAAGAACUCCGAUUGCGAAGGCAGCUUACUAAACUGCCACUGACACUGAGGCUCGAAAGUGUGGGUAUCAAACAGGAUUAGAUACCCUUGUAGUC